AUUGAACGCUGGCGGCAUGCCUUACACAUGCAAGUCGAACGGUAACAGGUCUUCGGAUGCUGACGAGUGGCGAACGGGUGAGUAAUACAUCGGAACGUGCCUAGUAGUGGGGGAUAACUACUCGAAAGAGUGGCUAAUACCGCAUGAGAUCUACGGAUGAAAGCAGGGGAUCGCAAGACCUUGUGCUACUAGAGCGGCCGAUGGCAGAUUAGGUAGUUGGUGGGAUAAAAGCUUACCAAGCCGACGAUCUGUAGCUGGUCUGAGAGGACGAUCAGCCACACUGGGACUGAGACACGGACGAGACUCCAACGGGAGGCAGCAGUGGGAGAUUUUGGACAAUGGGCGCAAGCCUGAUCCAGCAAUGCCGCGUGCAGGAUGAAGGACUUCGGGUUGUAAACUGCUUUUGUACGGAACGAAAAGCCCUGGGUUAAUACCCUGGGGUCAUGACGGUACCGUAAGAAUAAGCACCGGCUAACUACGUGCCAGCAGCCGCAGUAAUAC
rnacentral:rRNA from 1 species